UACGUAGGGUGCAAGCGUUUAAUCGGAAUUACUGGGCGUAAAGCGUGCGCAGGCGGUGAUGUAAGACAGUUGUGAAAUCCCCGGGCUCAACCUGGGAACUGCAUCUGUGACUGCAUUGCUGGAGUGCGGCAGAGGGGGGAUGGAAUUCCGCGUGUAGCAGUGAAAUGCGUAGAUAUGCGGAGGAACACCGAUGGCGAAGGCAAUCCCCUGGGCCUGCACUGACGCU
rnacentral:rRNA from 1 species